rnacentral:SRP_RNA from 1 species
GCCGGGUGUGGUGGUGCACACCUGUAAUCCCAGCUACUUGGUAGGCUGAGGCAGGAGAAUCGCUUGAACCUGGGAGGUGGACGUUGCAGUGAGCAGAGAUGGCACCACUGUACUCCAGCCUGGGCAACAGAGUGAGACCCUGCCUCAA